GACCUUGUAACACUCCAAAGAGAAAAAAAAAUUGAAAUCGCAUCAUAUGACCCCUUUAAUUUCUAUUUGUUACAUAUAGUCAUGUUUCAUUCAGAAGAUGUGUGUCCUGUUUGGCAGACUCUCUGUGUUACAGGAUCAGGUGGUUCUGGCCGUACGUCAGGACUACGUGCCUCUGGGAGAGCAGCCCCUGACCCUCAGAGAUGGGGACGAGGUGGCCGUUAUACUGCCCCUUAGUGGAGGCUAAGACAUGACCAAGGUAUGGCUGCAGAUGGGGGUCAAGAUCUAAUUACACUCACUACUGACAAGCUUUCUGCUGAUCGUGUUUCUGAAUCGGUUACGUGUCCCUCCUGUGGUGCUUUAUUUCUGUUUAUUGGGACUACCAGAGAUAAUUUUGAGGGGAAGAAAGUGAUCCGGCUUGAAUAGGAGGCAUACAGUCCAAUGGCAGAGUCAGAGCUUAGGAAGACCUGUAGUGAGAUCCGGACAAAGUGGCCCAGUGUCAGACGUAUUAACAUUCAGCAUAGACUUGGAAGCAAGUGUUAUAAUUGGGAUCUCAUCACCGCACAGAAGGGAUUCCCUGGAGGCGGUGAAGUACUGCAUCGACACACUCAAAGCUACUGUGCCAGUCUGGAAGAAGGAAAUAUACGAGUCUGGGGAGCUGUGCUGGAAACAGAACAAGGAGUGUUUGUGGGCGGAUGCUGGAAAACAAAGUUGAACUGUUAACUAGCAAAUGAGCUACAGUAAAUCUCAUGAAGCAUCAAGAGGUUUUUAUUGAAAAAAUACAAAACUCAAAGUUUUCCAGUAACACCUGAUGAAACAUAAAAAUUUAAUCAAAAGAGCAUAUUCUACUUUUCUCUUGAACAGAAAGUCUUAAAAAAGUACCAGUGCAAAAGCAUCAUGUAAACAUGAAGGGAAAUCUUUGUCGUUUAUGUUGCCUUUUAGAUUGGUCUCUUUUCCCAAAGAUUUCCUAAAGACGUCACACAUCACAACAUCAGUAGUAGUUCAACCCUGAAUUCAUAUAGCA